rnacentral:rRNA from 1 species
UACGUAGGGGGCAAGCGUUGUCCGGAUUUACUGGGCGUAAAGGGAGCGUAGGCGGACUUUUAAGUGAGAUGUGAAAUACUCGGGCUCAACUUGAGUGCUGCAUUUCAAACUGGAAGUCUAGAGUGCAGGAGAGGAGAAUGGAAUUCCUAGUGUAGCGGUGAAAUGCGUAGAGAUUAGGAAGAACACCAGUGGCGAAGGCGAUUCUCUGGACUGUAACUGACGCUGAGGCUCGAAAGCGUGGGGAGCAAACAGG